GACGAACGCUGGCGGCGUGCUUAACACAUGCAAGUCGAACGGAAAGGCCCUGCUUGCAGGGUACUCGAGUGGCGAACGGGUGAGUAACACGUGGGUGAUCUGCCCUGCACUUCGGGAUAAGCCUGGGAAACUGGGUCUAAUACCGGAUAGGAGCCAUUUUUAGUGUGAUGGUUGGAAAGUUUUUUCGGUGUAGGAUGAGCUCGCGGCCUAUCAGCUUGUUGGUGGGGUAAUGGCCUACCAAGGCGGCGACGGGUAGCCGGCCUGAGAGGGUGGACGGCCACAUUGGGACUGAGAUACGGCCCAGACUCCUACGGGAGGCAGCAGUGGGGAAUAUUGCACAAUGGGCGCAAGCCUGAUGCAGCGACGUCGCGUGGGGGAUGACGGCCUUCGGGUUGUAAACUCCUUUCGCUAGGGACGAAGCUUUUUGUGACGGUACCUAGAUAAGAAGCACCGGCUAACUACGUG
rnacentral:rRNA from 1 species